GUGCCAGCAGCCGCGGUAAUACGUAGGUGACAAGCGUUAUCCGGAAUUACUGGGCGUAAAGCGCACGCAGGCGGCGCACUAAGUCUGACGUGAAAUCUCCUGGCUUAACUGGGAGGGGUCGUUGGAGACUGGAGUGCUUGAGGCGAUGAGAGGGGUGUAGAAUUCCCGGUGUAGUGGUGGAAUGCGUAGAUAUCGGGAGGAAUACCAGUGGCGAAAGCGACACCCUGGCAUUAGCCUGACGCUCAGGUGCGAAGGCGUGGGGAGCGAACGGGAUUAGAAACCCUAGUAGUCC
rnacentral:rRNA from 1 species